rnacentral:rRNA from 1 species
UACGUAGGGGGCAAGCGUUGUCCGGAUUUAUUGGGCGUAAAGAGCUCGUAGGCGGUUUGGUAAGUCAGGUGUGAAAUCUCCACGCUCAACGUGGAGGGGCCACCUGAUACUGCCAUGACUGGAGUCCGGUAGAGGAGUGUGGAAUUCCCGGUGUAGCGGUGAAAUGCGCAGAUAUCGGGAGGAACACCAAUGGCGAAGGCAGCUCGCUGGGACGGUACUGACGCUGA